AAAUGGCCUGCUUAGUAGCGGCGAGUGAAGCGGCAAAAGCUCAAAUUUGAAAUCUGGCGUAUUCUACGUCCGAGUUGUAAUUUGAAGAAGGUAACUUUGGGGUUGGCUCUUGUCUAUGUUCCUUGGAACAGGACGUCACAGAGGGUGAGAAUCCCGUGCGAUGAGAUGCCCAAUUCCAUGUAAAGUUCCUUCGAAGAGUCGAGUUGUUUGGGAAUGCAGCUCUAAGUGGGUGGUAAAUUCCAUCUAAAGCUAAAUAUUGGCGAGAGACCGAUAGCGAACAAGUACAGUGAUGGAAAGAUGAAAAGAACUUUGAAAAGAGAGUGAAAAAGUACGUGAAAUUGUUGAAAGGGAAGGGCUUGAGAUCAGACUUGGUAUUUUGUAUGUCUUGCUUUCGGGUGGGGCCUCUACAGUUUACUGGGCCAGCAUCGGUUCGGAUGGUAGGAUAAUCGCGAAGGAAUGUGGCACCACUUCGGUGGUGUGUUAUAGCCUUUGUGGAUACUGCUUGUCUGGACCGAGGACUGCGUCUUUAUUGACUAGGAUGCUGGCAUAAUGAUCUUAAGUCGCCCGUCUUGAACCACACGGACCACA
rnacentral:rRNA from 1 species